rnacentral:ncRNA from 2 species
ACAGGGAUAACUGGCUUGUGG